rnacentral:rRNA from 1 species
GACGAACGCUGGCGGCGUGCUUAACACAUGCAAGUCGAACGGAAAGGCCUCUUUCGGGGGGUACUCGAGUGGCGAACGGGUGAGUAACACGUGAGUAACCUGCCCUUGACUUUGGGAUAACUUCAGGAAACUGGGGCUAAUACCGGAUAGGAGCUCCUGCUGCAUGGUGGGGGUUGGAAAGUUUCGGCGGUUGGGGAUGGACUCGCGGCUUAUCAGCUUGUUGGUGGGGUAGUGGCUUACCAAGGCUUUGACGGGUAGCCGGCCUGAGAGGGUGACCGGCCACAUUGGGACUGGGAUACGGCCCAGACGCCUACGGGAGGCAGCAGGGGGGAAUAUUGCACAAGGGGUGGAAGCCUGAUGCAGCAACGCCGUGUGCGGGAGGACGGCCUUCGGGUUGGAAACCGCUUUCGCUCAUGACGAAGCUUUGUGUGACGGUAGUGGGUAAAGAAGCACCGGCUAACUACGUG